AUGCAAACUUUGCUUUGUGCUACAAAAAAGGAACAUGAUAACUACAUUUGCACUUCCUGUCAUGAAGUAGCUCAAAAUCCAGACAAGCGGUACCUACUUAAACUGAAGGUACGCGAUGGCACGGCAACAACAACUUUCGUGGUGUUUAACGAGGUAGCAAAGAGUCUUUUAGGAAACAUAUCUUCGUCGACCCUAUUAGAGCAGGAGGGAUUCAACAACACGGUACCAGAUGUUAUUCAAAAUCUUUAUGGCAGAACACUCCUAUUCCGACUGAAGUUAAAUUCAAGGAAUCUAGAAGAGUGUAUGGAAAAUUAUAAAGUGAGCUACACUUUUGAAGUUGAUGACAAACUUGAGAUGGAAAAUUCAAAUGAAAUGGCUGAAGAGGGCAUACUGGAAAUGCAAGACACACGAGGUUCUUCAAAUUCUGAUAUGCACAAUUUCCAUUACGAGGUGAACCAGUCCUCCAAGAAUGCAACAAAUGAUGAGAAGAAGGAUAUGUGCAGAAAGGAAACCUCAAUAUCAUCCAACAAAAAACAACAACGGAGGACAAAGAUACAGAAGUCUAGCAAAAGAUAUGAAAAAGAUGUGAGACCGGUUGCUUCUAGAACAGUUGUUAAAACGGAAGCUCCUGAUGAUGAGGAAGAGCCAAAAACUUUUCCGCAGAAGAUAAAAGGAGAGACAAAACAAAAGAGAUGUAAGCAGGAUUUUAAAAGAAAGGCUUCGCGAAAUAAAAAAAAGGUUCUUACAGAAAAAUCAAAUAAUGAGACAAAACAAGACAGAUGUCAGAAGGCCUACCAACAAGAAACUCAGAAGAGUUAUGAACAAAAUCAAAUUCAAUAG
rnacentral:rRNA from 1 species